CUUUAAUUUCUUCUCACCUUAUAUAUUUUUUUCCUAAACUUGCUGCUUCCAUUCUCUAAGCCCAUUCAUUCCCUCUGCUCUCAUAAUGAAGUUCCUCAGCUGGAUGCAAACUAAAAUUGGUGGAAAACAAGAUAACAGAAAACCAGACACUCAUACAACUACUACUUACGAUGGAAAACAAGAGAGUCGAGAAGAGUUCAGCGAUUGGCCUGAUGGUUUGCUCGCAAUUGGUACAUUUGGAAAUAACAAGGAAGCACUAGAGAAGCGAAUAGAGGAACCAUCCUCCUCUGAGCAAAUUCCUGACUUCACUCCUGAAGAAAUUGGGAAGCUACAAAAAGAGCUCACUAAACUGUUGAGACAAAAACCCAAAGUGGAAAAGGAAAUCUCCCACCUUCCUCUCGACAGAUUCCUCAAUUGUCCAUCAAGCUUGGAGGUUGAUCGGAGAAUCAGCAACGUACUUUGCUCUGAUUCUGAAAAUAAAGAUGGCGACAACGAAGAAGAAAAACAAGAACGAGAAGAAGAAGAUGAUGAUGAAGAAGAAGACAUUGAGAAGACUCUUGGUGUCAUACUUGGUAAAUUCAAAGAGAUUUGUGCAAAAAACAGUAAGAAAGCAAUUGGGAAGAAAUCGAUUUCGUUUUUGCUGAAGAAGAUGUUCGUUUGUAGAAGUGGUUUUUCCCCAACACCCAGCCUUAGAGAUACCCUUCAACUACAGGAGUCAAGAAUGGAGAAGCUUUUGAGGAUGAUUCUUCACAAGAAAAUAAACUCCCAGCAUUCUUCUCGUGCACUGUCCCUGAAGAAGCGACUGGAAGACAGGAGGAAGAUGCCGAUGGAGGAGGAAGCAGAGGCUGAAACUGAUGAUGGCGGUAAAUGGGUCAAGACUGAUUCUGAAUAUAUUGUUUUAGAGAUUUAACAAAUCCUCCUCAAUUUUUAACCGCUCUUUCUUUGCGUCUCUGUCAGGUAAGAUUAAAUCAAGAAGCAAGGAGAUUAUACAAAGCAUUACGAGGGAGCAUGAAAUGAAGCUAUUUUUUUUGUGAGAGUUUAUCUGUGAUCUUGCACUGGCCUGAGUGGCUCGGAUCAUCAGUGUCAAUCUCUCUGUUCUGUCAACAGCUACCGCUUCCCUUUGUUUUUGUUUUUUUUUUUCAUGGUUGUUUCUGACUAUGCAGAGCAACUCAUGUUAUACUUAAUCGUAAACACCAUAACUCCUAUCAACACCAAUGGCCAAACCUACACAUUCUGAACCCACUCUCUUAUCUGCUAAUUUCUUAUCUACUAUCCUUGUAAUAUCACUGCCACUCAAUAAUAUUCACAACAUGGGCUAGUAAAAUACA